rnacentral:pre_miRNA from 1 species
AGGAGGACUUGUGGGCGUGGCAUUGCCGAAUAACCACGACCACAUGUUCUUCUACUCU